UCCCGGUUGGCCCGGGCAGUCUUGCCUGAAAUUGCAACAGACAGUAAGGGUUGCGCUCGUUGCGGGACUUAACCCAACAUCUCACGACACGAGCUGACGACGGCCAUGCAACACCUGUCACUGCGCUCCCAAAGGGCACUCCCAACUUUCGCCAGGAUUCGCAGGAUGUCAAGCCUUGGUAAGGUUCUUCGCGUACCAUCGAAUUAAACCACAUCAUCCACCGCUUGUGCGGGUCCCCGUCAAUUCCUUUGAGUUUUAAGCUUGCGCUCGUACUCCCCAGGCGGGAUGCUUAACGCGUUAGCUUCACAGCCCAAGGGGUCGAUACCUCGAACUAUUAGCAUCCAUCGUUUACGGCGUGGACUAC
rnacentral:misc_RNA from 1 species